rnacentral:pre_miRNA from 1 species
AUAGUACUCCCUCCGUUUAGAAUUACUCGUCCAAAAAAUGAAUGUAUCUAGAUGUAUUUUAGUUGUAGAUACAUCCAUUUUUGUAACAAGUAAUUCCGAACGGAGGGAGCACAUG